UUGGACUUCUAAUCCAAAGGUCGUGGGUUCGAUCCCCACCAGGGAUGAUAAUCGACCGUUCUUGGGUCUCAUUUUUUUUUAAUAACUUUUAGCUACAAAUUUCACAUUAUAACAAUCUAAAUUUUAUUUUUAUAUUAAUCUAUUAUACUAAUAUUUAAUUAUCGCCAUUGAUCCGCCAUACUAUCCUUUCAAAUUUUAUUACAAUCUUUAAUCUUCUUUUAUUUGCACAUUUAAAAGUGGAUGUAAAAUUAAUUAAUUUGUCUACAGGAAUAUCUCUUCUUUGCGCCUUCCUGAGUACUACGUUACUUUUACUGCACUCACUCUUGUGUUUGUUUUAAUUUUAGUUACUUUCGACUUGGAACGAAAAUAUCCCGAUGCACGGCAAACGUAAAAAUAGUGAAUACGAAGGUGAAUAGACUUGGUUUGAAUAUUGUUGGUAUAUUUAUGAUCAAGUAUUAUUAUACCAAGUCAACGUAAUGAUAUACUACAAUGGAACAAAUAGGCAAAUAGUUAUGAUUCAACAAUUAUGGCAUUUAUUUUUUCAUUUUUUGACCUUUAUUAUUAAUUGAAUUCUAGUCUUUAUUACGGUCAGAAAAUAUACAAAAUUUAUAUUAUUUUUAUCUUGAAGUGAUAUUUUCGAGAAUCGUAGAAAUGACGAAAUUUUGUUAUUAUGUAAUUAUGUAUACAUGAACCUCACAUAAAUAACUAGAUACUUGUUGGGUGUAUUUUAUCUGUACUACAGCUGCCAAACAUUACAGAAGAUUGCGACGCCUUCCUUUCCAAGAAUCUAUAAUUUCUUCCAAGACCGUCUUCCCAGAACGUAUGUACAUUAUAAUAGGUUAUAUGACUCUCACAAUCAGUACGAGAGUUAUGAAAAGAGAAAUGAUCUAUUCUCGAACAUUUUACUAUAGAAAUUCUGUUUGCAAUUUUCAUCUUUUAAUUUAAGAACGUGGUAUUUUAUAACUUUUCUUUAUUUUAGCGAUAUAUAUAUAUCAAACGUAGCUGCUAUAAUCCUUUUCAAUUUUUCAAGAAGAAAGAAGCAGUGUUGUAACAACCGACUCGAUCAAAAGCCACGAAACGAAGGAUCCAGAAGCAGAUGAGACAUUCAACGAGUAAACGAUUCAAAGACCCCAAUAAUUAAAGGGAUACAAACGAUAUCAAUUAAUUGCUUGGCUUCUAAAUACACUGUUAGAUUAAGCGUAUCGUCGAUUCUGCUUCCACAGAGCAGAUUUGCAACGAACGAAUUGAGAGGGACGAAGUUUAGGCGCUCAAUCUUUCCGAACAUUGAACGUCGGAGAAUACAAAUCUGUCUAUUUCGAACGUUGAUCGAUACUUCAUUAAUUAUUAAUGAACGCCUCUUACACUUUCGAUUGGACGAGCACACCGCUGUCUGCUGUAGGCGUAGUUUCCUUUCGAUCAAUAAUUUAUGCCUGGCUACUUAAUCGAGUUCUGAUUUUGGAUGGACAGAGUUACGUGCAUAUUUUACAUUAAUUAUAAAUCGAAGGUUCGUUACGGCGCAUAGCGUAUUAAUAUUGUCACGAACGAAAUAAGACGGAAUCGAAAAUAGAAUGCCUGUUUGGGAAUUCCCAGGAUCACCAGAUACUAUACUGAUAAAAAAAAAAGAAGCUGGAUCGCUGUGUUUGCCAGUAAAUUUACCGCUGAAACACUGAGUCAGCGUAUUACAAUUUUAAUUAUAUAUGCGUAUAGACUGAGUCAUUCGAUUCUACCCCAUUUACAUACUUCGUGUAUACAACUAUUAGCAAAAAGACACGACGCCGAAAGAAAUCCAACAGCUUAAUCAUUUCUGCGAUUCUAAUUUUGUGACAGGAAGUAUAAAAAAAGAGGUUGUAAUGACGAGCAUGAAUGCAAAUGAUAGCGGGUUCGCGUGAGUCAUAUCCGGAAUUAAUUCUUCUGCCAUCUCGAUGUCGACACGUGACAAAUUUACCGCUAAUCAAUCUUGAGCAGCUAUAUUUUUAAACCACGUUAUUCACAAAACGAGCUCGCCUUAUGCAAUUCUAUUAAACAUAUAGCGACUGAACGAAAUUAAUCUUUUAAAUAUGAUUCGUAUUGCUGCAAUUAUAUUACAGAAAGGAAUAACAAAAAGCUUGAAUUUUCUUUCCUUGCACACUCUUAUCGGAUAAUGAUAAAUUGACUACUAUACUUGUUCUGGGAAAAGUUACAGCACCGUUCGAAAACGGCAGGGUGAUACGAAAACUGCACCUAAAAGUCAUCGCUAAAUGCAGGAAGAAACGAUAAUAGGAAUUAUCAAUAGAACAUUGUAUUUUGUGUGAAUCGUUUAAUAAGCAUAAACAUAAGUUAUGUUAUUACAAUGUCACAGUAAUAAUAAUAGUAAUAGUAAUAGUAAUUAGAAGAAUAGCAAGUAUUUCUACGUUAAUGUUAUAAUUGUCGACAUAAUGUUAACGGGCUACAAAUAUAGUAUCGAGAUCUUUUUGCUUU